rnacentral:rRNA from 1 species
AGUGAACGCUGGCGGUAGGCCUAACACAUGCAAGUCGAACGGCAGCACAGUAAGAGCUUGCUCUUACGGGUGGCGAGUGGCGGACGGGUGAGGAAUACAUCGGAAUCUACUUUUUCGUGGGGGAUAACGUAGGGAAACUUACGCUAAUACCGCAUACGACCUACGGGUGAAAGCAGGGGAUCUUCGGACCUUGCGCGAUUGAAUGAGCCGAUGUCGGAUUAGCUAGUUGGCGGGGUAAAGGCCCACCAAGGCGACGAUCCGUAGCUGGUCUGAGAGGAUGAUCAGCCACGCUGGAACUGAGACACGGUCCAGACUCCUACGGGAGGCAGCAGUGGGGAAUAGUGGACAAUGGGCGCAAGCCUGAUCCAGCCAUACCGCGUGGGUGAAGAAGGCCUUCGGGGUGUAAAGCCCUUUUGUUGGGAAAGAGAAGCAGCAGGUUAAUACCCCGCUGUUCUGACGGUACCCAAAGAAUAAGCACCGGCUAACUU